rnacentral:rRNA from 1 species
CAGAAUGAUGACUGGGUGAUACAGCGAAAGCGUUAAGUAUUCCACCUGGGGAGUACGCCGGCAACGGUGAAACUCAAAGGAAUUGACGGGGGCCCGCACAAGCGGAGGAACAUGUGGUNUAAUUCGAUGAUACGCGAGGAACCUUACCCGGGCUCAAACGUAGAAUGACAGACGGUGAAAGCCGUUCUCCCUUCGGGGCAGUCUACGAGGUGCUGCAUGGUUGUCGUCAGCUCGUGCCGUGAGGUGUCGGCUUAAGUGCCAUAACGAGCGCAACCCCCAUCUACAGUUGUUAACAGGUAAAGCUGAGGACUCUGUGGAGACUGCCGGCGCAAGCUGUGAGGAAGGCGGGGAUGACGUCAAAUCAGCACGGCCCUUACGUCCGGGGCGACACACGUGUUACAAUGGCAGGUACAGCGGGAAGCCAUAUGGCGACAUAGAGCGGAACCCGAAAACCUGUCUCAGUUCGGAUUGGAGUCUGCAACUCGACUCCAUGAAGCUGGAUUCGCUAGUAAUCGCGCAUCAGCCACGGCGCGGUGAAUACGUUCCCGGGCCUUGUACACACCGCCCGUCAAGCCAUGGAAGCCGGGGGUACCUGAAGUGCGUGACCGCAAGGAGCGUCCUAGGGUAAAACCGGUGACUGGGGCUAAGUCGUAACAAGGUAACCGU